UGAGAUAGCGGGAUCCGGUCCCUGGUCGCUUACCGCGUGUUGACAGUCACAGAUAGAUGUUUGUUGAAAGUCAUCGAGAACUUGAGUUACUUGGAAGUCAAUGUGUUUCGUCGUUUGAUGACCUUUAUUCAUCUGAUUUCAAGCACUUGGACACAUAAAGAUACUCAAAGUGUUGUUUCCCUUCGUUCAACCUUUGUAACUGUCGACAACUAUUCUGUAUCGUAAACAAGAUUGUGUAUUGUAAACACAUAAACAGAGUGUGUUGACGCUCGACAUGCAAUCGGGAAAUUAAUAUUUUUCUUUCAAACAUAGUUUUCCUUGGACAUUAAGAUAGUUUUGGUCUGAAACCAUAAACUGCACUUGAUUGUGAAAACUCUGUGCUUCUCGAGGGUGGGAGAGUGUGAUCAUAUCACGGACGCAUCAAAAAGGUUGAAACUUGAAACCUACCAGCAACUUUUUACACAAUUGCCAAGCUUGUAUUCAUGAGUGGAAACUGUGUACAGCGAAGAAAAGGAUCAGAAUCAGUCUGUCGCAUUACAGGCAAUCUGUAUACAACCCACAGGAGGACGGGGAAACCAGCAAAUCCGUCAUCGCCUUCCUCAUCCAAGUUCAUGACCACUAUCAGAAAAGCUUCCUGAUGACUCAGUAGCCGUAUAGUCGCACACUCAGAUAUGGAAGCGCAAGCUGACCAGGAUGCCCCCUGUCCUGCCUGGGGGGCGUUCAAGAGGGAAUUGCUAGACAUGACCUGCAGGGUCAAGACGAUAACAAACGCAGUCAGCGUCGCCACCGUUCACGUGACAGGCGGAGCUCGCUGCACGUGCACAGUUCGGAGCAAUGGAGAGGUGCCUCUGAAGAAGGCAGCAGAGGAACUGUCGGCAAACGUCGGCAAGCUCGUUGAGGAGAUUCUCAGACACGCGGUCGACGCCCAGAGCGUCUGAGGAGAGAAAAGGUCGAGAGACUGCCAGGGACAGCGCCUAUGAAAGCAGGAACAGCACAGCAAUAUAUGUCUUUCCAGUCCAGGAAACGGCAGUAUCCUCAUUGGAAAAUUCUGAGAAUGCUGAAGGCCAUAUCUGUGUGCGUCUUUAGACACACACCCGGAUGUACAGGUCCAGGAUGUUCAGAAGUUCUAAAUCUGUGACUGACGGUGUCAGUGGAGUUGACAGUCGCCACUGAAAGUUUUACCAGGAUCACUGUUUUGAAAGUUGUUACAAACCCCGCCGACAAACUGGUCUCAGAAUUUGAGAACAAAAUAUGCUCAGUGACUCUAGUCGGGUCAGUGUCUACAGAGGAAGGAUUUACUCCAAGCCAACGAGAUCACAGCAGGAUGUUCUUUAGGGAAGUUCUUCCAGACAUUGCAUGAUCACCAAGUUCCACAUUGGAGAGUCCUUAGAAUGCCCCUGCCGCUUAGCUCCAGUCACAAUGUUCAUUGACUGUCCAUUGUCCAACCCGCUGGAAACUAAGAGACACAGCCUGUUGAUGAUACACCUGUUAAAGGAAAGACUAUUAGCACCUUUGCGGUGUCUACAGGACAUUGUAGACUGGGUCAGGGCCUCUGGAGUCAUUGUCUGAACGUUCCAACGAGAAAAAUAUGCGUGCAUGUUGUGUGUGUGCUUGCUUGCUUACGUGAACAAAUGAGUGUGUCAGUGGGUUAGAUAGGCGAGCAUGUAAGGAAGCACAGACGUGUAUCUCUGGACUGAUGGCGGUCUGAAUUCUCAGUCUUUCGUGAAGUUGUAGACUUUCGGGUCUCGUCAAGCCCUUUCACUCCCAAUAUCUAUAACAUCGGUAAAAUUUUUUAUGUUUUCAGCCUAUUUGCAAUGUGUUUGUUAUUUAGUUAGAUUUUUAUUUCCUUAUUUUUGGGCAAAAGUCGUUAGUUUCCUCUUCCCACGGGCGUAGAACCAAUAAAUCGAAAACAAAACAGACCAUAAGGAUCUUUUGUGCUUCGGGUCAACACGAGAGCUGGCAUCGUCUGCUCUUCCUCUUCGUGUUGGUGAUGAAACCGGAAGCACAUUCGACCAGAGGCCUCCUCCUAGACCUUAAGGCGGACAUUUUUUCUGCAAGCAGUCCAGAGAUAUAUGUCCGUGAAGUGAGGAAACGAGUGGAUCUACACUUUUCAGUCUUUCAUAACAAACAUCGUGAUUACUUGUUCCGUGCGUGUAUUUUCGUUUACAUUUACAUUCACCAUCCAAAUGACUUCCUUGUGUGAUCGUGAGAAAGAAGAAUAUCCUGGUAGGCGCUAGUAAUUUAAGUGCCGUAUUGAUCCGAGAACUCGAUAAACUGAUCGAUAAAAUCGACCAUUUGAAUCGCAAUAUUAGACGAGGAAAGUGCUUUUGUUUGUUUGUUUGUUUGUUUGUUUGUUUGUUUGUUGUGAAGCCACGUGUCUGAAUUUGACAGACUUUCAGCAUCAGUAGCUCAUUGAGACUACUUCACCUUACAAAGAAACAUUUUGAGUGUUGGAAAAGAACGAUACCUGCUAAGUUUUUCCUCCCUCUUUCCCCCAAACUAUGAUGGUACGGGAUUAAAAUCACAUUUGACAAAUAUAAA